rnacentral:lncRNA from 1 species
GUUUGGAGUUGGCGGAAGUCGUCGAUGUAGCUCUGCACCUUGCCUUCUUGCUUCAGUUUGGCUAAUUGGCCAUGGUGAUUAACAACUGGGGAUGGCCCCCAUUGAGUCAUAAAUUCUUGUACAAAGAUCGUCCAUCCCAAUCGAUUCCCCUCUUUCUCAUACAAAUUCCUUAGCCAUCUCCACCAUUUACUUGCUCUCCCUUCUAAAUGAUAACUAGCUAAGGUAACUCUUUCCUCCCAUGGGAUCUCAUAGACUUGGAAGUAUUGCUCCACCUUGUCGAGCCAUUUAUAUGGAUCUCC